UAGCUCUGUGGUGGAGCAUAUGUUUAGCAUGCAUGAGGUCCUGGGUUCAAUCCCCAG
rnacentral:tRNA from 1 species